GGGCACCACCAGGAGUGGAGCCUGCGGCUUAAUUUGACUCAACACGGGAAAACUCACCCGGCCCGGACACUGGGACGAUUGACAGACUGACUAGCUCUUUCUCGAUUCAGUGGGUGGUGGUGCAUGGCCGUUCUUAGUUGGUGGAGCGAUUUGUCUGGUUAAUUCCGAUAACGAACGAGACUCCAGCCUGCUAGUUAGCCGGGCCGGCUCCGUAACUGGAUCCGCGCCCGACACAUCUGACUUCUUAGAGGGACAGACGGCAGCUUUCAAGCAAGCCGUACGAGAUGGAGCAAUAACGGGUCUGUGAUGCCCUUAGAUGUCCGGGGCCGCACGCGCGCUACACUGAAGAGAGCAGCACGCCGCGUGCCCGCCGCUCCGAGAGGAGCGGCUAAUCGUAUGAACCCCCUUCCUGACAGGGAUUGGGCCUUGGUAACGAGUGCCCAUGAACGAGGAAUUCCCAGUAGGUGCGAGUCAUCACCUUGCGCCGAUUACGUCCCUGCCCUUUGUACACACCGCCCG
rnacentral:rRNA from 1 species